CUCUUUCUAAAUAGUGCAUUCAGAGUUUGAAAAUGCAGGAUGAACUAGACUGCAUCCCUUUCCAGCCUCCUUCCUUCUGUCACCAGCCUCGCAAGUUCUCCAAGGAGCCUUCUAUGCCCGCUUGCUCCUCCCCCCUCCCACCCAGCCUCCUCUCACCUUUGACCUCUCACCACCACCAGAGGCGGGGAGCGCGGUGGGAGAAGCAGUUUUUAUCUGUUACACAGGGACUGACCUACAGCUCUAAGAGCUGGAAUAAAACGAAAGCCCUCACCCUAGGAAGGAAUUCAGUCUCCUCCAUCGGCCCCCUUCUCCCAGCUCCCGGCUCCCCAUCCCCCACUGAGUGGGUUCCAAUCCCUGGGCCUUCUUGCUGGGAGCUCCAAGCUUCAGACCUGCUGUGGCCUCCACCUGGAACAUUCUUCCUCCAAAUCGUCCCUGGGCUCCCUUCCUCCUGUCAUGAAGCUCUCUGCUCAAACAGCACUUCUUCCCACCAUGGGUAAGCCGGCGCCCACCAGCCCCGUCCGUCCGUCUCCGUCGCAUUGCCCUGGUUUAUUUCCCUCGUGGUGCUCGUCACCAUCUGACCUUCACCAUGGAUUUGUCUAUUUAUUGUCUGUCUCCCUACCCAGGACACAGAUACCUUGAGGACAGGGACUUCAGGGAUUUGUUCCCGGCAUGUGAAAGGAAACAUUAUUCACUAAGUGGUUUCCUACCUCAAUAUUCAAAGUUUGAGCCAAGAAAGAAAGGAAGUGGAGAGCUACUGAGUACGCGUCAGGUGCUAAGGCUGGUAAGGCACAGAUUCACACCCAAAUCUGGCAGAUGCAGACACUGGGCGUCAGAGGAGCGGGCCACGCGGGCUUAAAUCACUGCCAAGAUGGAAAACUCCCUUACAGUAAACGCAUGUAACUACAGACAAUGAACAUUCCAAAAAACGAUGCUCCUUCCAAAAGACUCCAAAAAAUCACUCCAGCCAGACUCUUCAUAGCACCAUGGAGUUUCCCGAAAAGCAGAAGGAACUCUAAUUAGUCUUCUCAUCCAGUCUCUCUGUCCUCUGCACGACAUUCCUGUCAGACAAAUUUUAGCACCUGCUGGAACCGUCCCAAGGGCUGGGAUCCCUCAAUUCUGAGAGGCAGGUUUAUGAGCAAUGCCCUGCUUUGGUUCUGUCACUGUUCAAUAGGAAAUCUUAGAGCGGUAAGGACACAGACUAGAGCAAGAAAGAGAAGUAAGAAAGAAUCAAAUUCAGCAGGGUCUUGUAACUUAAACAAUACCAUAAACAAAGUAAAAAAUAAUAAUAAACUGGUAAAAAAAAUUUGCAAUACAUAGAAGAAUGAGGAUAAUUUCCCUAAUACACAAAAGCAUAUAUAUACAGCAAUUUGAAAAAAAUCCAAUUAAUAUAAAUAAGAAAAGGCUAUGAAUAGGCAGUUCAAAGGAAAAAAUAAUCAACAGAUAAAUGAAGAGUUUGUAUCUCAUACAUAAAGAAAUGCAAAUUCAAACAAUAAAAUGCUGUUUUUCACC
rnacentral:lncRNA from 1 species